CCAGAAGCUGCAUUCGGCUCCGGUGAGCAGGCUUCACACAUGUCUGGUGGCGGGUAUUUAGCGUCCUCUGUUUGUAUGUUACUUGUUAUGUUGCUAUGGUGAGGGUUGCACUGACGCCAGUCCCGCGACGCUGCGGGAUGACGUCAUCAACGGUGGACACCGGACGGGCGCACCAAUCACAAAUGCCGGUGGGACCGCUCACAGGGUGAUAUGCUGUAUAAAGCUCUGACAGGUCUCCCCGGCGCCUGUUUGCGCAACCGUUGCUUGGCAACGGACACGUCAGCUAUGCGCCGCCCGUGUGACGUACCCGGAAGUCCCGGACACAGACGCCGGGAACACCUGCUCCUGCAGCUUUAAAAGUUUGUUCCUCAGACUCACCCUCAAACGAGAUCUUCCAAAACCCCACUGCAGAUAGCUCAGCAAAACCAAGACAUUCAUG